rnacentral:rRNA from 1 species
UACGGGGGGGGCAAGCGUUGUUCGGAAUUACUGGGCGUAAAGGGCUCGUAGGUGGCCAACUAAGUCAGACGUGAAAUCCCUCAGCUUAACUGGGGAACUGCGUCUGAUACUGGAUGGCUUGAGUUUGGGAGAGGGAUGCGGAAUUCCAGGUGUAGUGGUGAAAUACGUAGAUAUCUGGAGGAACACCGGUGGCGAAGGCGGCUAUCUGGCCAUGUACUGACGCUGAGACACGAAAGCGUGGGGAGCGAACAGG